CCCCUAGAUGUUCUGGGCCGCACGCGCGCUACACUGAACAGUUCAACAAGUCUUAACCUUGGCCGAUAGGUCUGGGUAAUCUUUGAACGCUGUUCGUGAUUGGGAUAGACCUUUGCAAUUAUGGGUCUUCAACGAGGAAUUCCUAGUAAACGCAAGACAUCAGCUUGCAUUGAUUACGUCCCUGCCCUUUGUACACACCGCCCGUCGCACCUACCGAUUGAAUGGUCCGGUGAAAUCUCGGGACGGCGGCUUGGUCGCUUGCGUCCGACUGCUGAAACUUGAUUAAACCAUAUCAUUUAGAGGAAGGUGAAGUCGUAACA
rnacentral:rRNA from 1 species